ACAUAAAGACCUAAUGACUCUCAUUGCAGCAGUAUUCCUCUUGUAUUGUUAUUUUCUUAACUUCGGAUUUCCUCCAUUUCUGCACUUUUUGCCAUCUGGAAUUUCAUUUGCAAGGGCAGAUAAGGGGAAAAGAAUGUAAUAAGAGACGAGGAAAAAUAUAAGCCCUUGCUGAAUGAUUGAUAUGAAUGAAGGAACUGAUGGAAUAAAUAACAAAAAUAAAAAGAUCCAGGACUACUCUCAGUCUCUGAAGCAGGUGGGAGCCCUGGCGGUAGCUAUGGGUCCAGUUCAAAGGAUUAUGAAAUGCACUGCUUUCACAUCAAAAAGGAAGAAGAAAGGCAAUACUUGCAACCAAUGAUAAAGAGGUAUUCUGACUUUCAUCUGCCUUUGUGUUAAGCGUGAGAGAGCCAGACAGAAUUGCAGCAGGAACCAGAAGGAGCAAAGAAAAAGAUUACUGUUUCUUUUAUAAAAUGG
rnacentral:lncRNA from 10 species